rnacentral:lncRNA from 1 species
AUCAAUCAUAAUUAGUAUUUAAUUAUUAUCAUUAUUAUUUUAGGAUUUGUAUAAAGUCUAUAGAGUCAAUCACCUUAAUUGUUGGAGAUAUUUGUAACUUAAUUUACUCCAAUUAGGUUACUAUACUUGUGUAUAUAUACACCUCUUGUAAACCCUUAAAAGUAAUGCAAUAUACAACUUUAUUCAUUCCCUUAUAUGGUAUCAGUU